GAUGGACGCUGGCGGCGUGCCUAAUACAUGCAAGUCGAGCGAACAGACGAGGAGCUUGCUCCUCUGACGUUAGCGGCGGACGGGUGAGUAACACGUGGAUAACCUACCUAUAAGACUGGGAUAACUUCGGGAAACCGGAGCUAAUACCGGAUAAUAUAUUGAACCGCAUGGUUCAAUAGUGAAAGACGGUUUUGCUGUCACUUAUAGAUGGAUCCGCGCCGCAUUAGCUAGUUGGUAAGGUAACGGCUUACCAAGGCGACGAUGCGUAGCCGACCUGAGAGGGUGAUCGGCCACACUGGAGCUGAGACACGGUCCAGACUCCUACGGGAGGCAGCAGUAGGGAAUCUUCCGCAAUGGGCGAAAGCCUGACGGAGCAACGCCGCGUGAGUGAUGAAGGUCUUCGGAUCGUAAAACUCUGUUAUUAGGGAAGAACAAAUGUGUAAGUAACUAUGCACGUCUUGACGGUACCUAAUCAGAAAGCCACGGCUAACUACGUG
rnacentral:rRNA from 1 species